AACAAAGGUAACAAAUGCAUAUGGUGGAUGCCUUGGGUCUUUAUGCCGAUGAAGGACGUGCUUAGCUGCGUUAAGCUUCGGGGAGCUGCUGAGAAGCGCUAUUACCCGGAGAUGUCCGAAUGGGGAAACCCGGCCAGGAGCAAUCCUAGGUCACUCAUUGUUGAAAGCCGCCGCAAGGCGGUCAUAGAUAAUGUGGAGGGAACUCAGCGAACUGAAACAACUUAGUAGCUGGAGGAAUAGAAACCAAAACAGGUAUUUCCUGAGUAGCGGCGAGCGAAAGGGAAGAAGUCUAAACCUAAGACUAAAAUGAAAACUAGGUGCUGCGUUAAAAACAGCAUCCAGAUUUUUAUUUUAGAAACUGGGGGUUAGGAAACUCAUCCAAUUAAAUUUGGAAGAAGUAAAAAAUUACUUUAGUAGGAGAAACAAGCUGGAAAGCUUUGCCAUAGAGGGUAAUAGCCCCGUAUUCGAAACUGGAGUAACUUCUUGGGUUUUCCAGAGUAGCAUGGGACACGUGAAACCCUGUGUGAAUUCGCCAGGACCAUCUGGUAAGACUAAAUACAUAAAGACACCGAUAGUGAACUAGUACCGUGAGGGAAAGGUUAAAAGAACCGCGAAUAGCGGAGUGAAAUAGAACCUGAAACCGUAUGCAAUCAAGCUGCUGAAGUCCAUCUUGUAUGGAUGACAGCGUGCCUAUUGAAAAAUGAGCCAGCGAGUUAAUGUUAUUUGCAAGCUUAAGCAACUCAGUUGUGAAAGCGUAGGGAAACCGAGUCUUAAUAGGGCGAUUAGUAAAUAGCAUUAGACCCGAAGCCAGGUGAGCUUACCAUGAACAGGUUGAAGCUGCGGUAAAACGUAGUGGAGGACCGAACCCGUGUCAGUGACAAAUGGCUGGGAUGAUUUGUGGUAAGAGGUAAAACGUCAAUCGAACCUGGCGAUAGCUGGUUCUCCCCGAAAUAUAUUUAGGUAUAGCCGUGUUCAUACUAGGAUUUGCGAGGUAGAGAUACUGAAAAGGGAUGUGGUCCUUACGGAUACACACUCUUACCAAACUCCGAAUGCGCAAAUUCUCGAACACGAGUCAGCAAUGCGGAGCAAGUUCGUGUUGCAAAAGGGAAAGAGCCCGGACCAUCGGCUAAGGUCCCAAAUCUUUGCUAAGUGGUAAAGGAAGUGGAAUUGUUUAGACAGCUAGGAGGUUGGCUUAGAAGCAGCCAUCCUUUAAAGAAAGCGUAACAGCUCACUAGUUAAACGGUUCUGCACCGAAGAUCCAACGGGGCUCAAGCAAAGAACCGAAGCCGUGGAUUUCCUGGGGUUGCCCGGGAAGUGGUAGGGGAGCAUUGAUGCCGCCAUAGACAUAUGGCAUAGCUGUGAAGGUGGUGCCGUGAGGCCUGCUGGAGCGACAUCAAGUGAGAAUGCUGGCAUGAGUAACGAGAGGAUGGUGAAAACCCAUCCCGCCGUAAGACUAAGGGUUCCUCCGCUAUGUCAGUCAUCGGAGGGUUAGUCGGUCCUAAGGUGAGGCCGAAAGGCGUAAUCGAUGGACAGCAGGUUAAUAUUCCUGCACUACCAUAAAGUCGUUAUCACCAAUGAAGGGACGGCACAUGAUAGGUUGAACUGGUUAAGGAUUUCAGUUCCAAAAGCGAGGCAGUUUGUGUAGGUAAAUCCGCACGAGCGUUUAUCCAAGCUUAGGAAGAAACCCGUAAAACGGUUUAUUCAACCGAGUUAAGUGUCCGAGAAAAUCUUCUAGGGAGAUUUUAUGGUAUCCGUACCGCAAACCGACACAGGUAGUCGAGUAGAGAAUACUAAGGCGAACGAGAGAACCGUGGCCGAGGAACUAGGCAAACUACAUCCGUAACUUAGGAAAAAGGAUGCCCUACCGCAAGGUAGGGGGCACAGAAAUGGCUCUAGCGACUGUUUAUCAAAAACACAGGUCUCUGCUAAACCCGCAAGGGGAUGUAUAGGGGCCGACACGUGCCCAGUGCCCGUAAGUCAAGCCUGAAGGUGAGUCUUAGGACAAGCCUUUGGAGCAAGCUCGGGUGAACGGCAGCAGUAACUAUAACUGUUCUAUGGUAGCGUAAUCCCUUGUCGCAUAAUUAUCGACCCGCACGAAACGUGUAACGACUGGAGCACUCUCUUAGUCACGGACUCGGUGAAAUUGAACUGCCGGUCAAGAUGCCGGCUACACAUUGCUGGACAGAAAGACCCCGUGGAGCUUUACUGUACCUUGGCAUUGGUAAGUAAUUUUGACUGUAUAGUAUAGGAGGGAGUUCUACUUCGGUAGAACAACAAUGUAAUACCUCUCUUUCAAACUUACAAACCUAACCAUGCGCCAUAACCUGGCGCGGGGACAAUGUCUGGGGGGCAGUUUAACUGGGGCGGUUUCCUGCUAAAGAGUAACGCAGGAGUACAAAGGCUCCCUUAUCCCGGAUGGAAAUCGGGAUGUAAGCAUAAAGGUAUAUGGGAACUUAACUGCAAGACUUACAAGUCGAGCAGAUGCGAAAGCAGGUCUUAGUGAUCUUCCGAGCGCCUAAUGGUAGGCCCGGAACUUAUCGGAUAAAAGUUACCCCGGGGAUAACAGGCUAAUGGUGCCCGAGCGUCCACAGCGGCGGCACCGUUUGGCACCUUAAACAAAAAUUAGGGGUGCUACGAAAGUAAUUUCGUACCAAAAAUUCGGCUAAUAACGGUGAACUCCUAAUGCAUAUUGUGAUAAUAUUUGUGCAUGGAGAAUACCGUGGGAAGUCUGACAAAAGUCCAACAAUCCAUGAUAGUAGGAACAUUGCUUGGUGACGGAACUCUUAGAAAGAAAAGCAACACCUUACUCGAAAUAAACCACUCGCAUAAACAAAAAGAAUAUGUGCUCUGGUUUUACAGCGCUCUCGAAAAUUUAGUUUCUACACCACCUAAGCUACGUAAGUCUGGAAAGAACAGAAUGUCUUACAGAUUUACAACAAAAAGCUUAGAGGUGUUGAACAGUUUUCAUGAAGUGUUUUACGAGAAAGGUUGUAAAAGAGUUCCAAACGAACUUAUACUAGACCCCUUGUCUUUAGCCAUUUGGUUUAUGGACGAUGGUUCGAAAGAUAGAAGUUCAGUGUAUUUAAAUACACAGCAAUUUACCCUAUCAGAUCAACAAAUGCUUCUGGAAAAACUAAGCGAGAUGAACCUUUUUGGCUCUCUUAACAGAGACAAAAAGUACUUCAGAAUAAGAUUAUUCAAAGAAUCGCUUAAAAGAUUUCAAAGUAUUGUAGAUCCUCAUGUGAUUGAAAGUAUGAAAUAUAAACUUUUGUUAUGACCCCGUAUCGACUGAUCCUUAAAUGGAGAGAUGGUUCCAAAAACCAUAAAACGCCGACUCCUCCUCUCUAAACUUUAGAGACAAGAGGAAGAAGAUAUAGUCAGUACAACUAGUAAUAGUUGAGUAGUACGCGAUGUCGACUCGUCAUAUCCUGGUGGUGAAGCAGCUACCAAGGGUUGGACUGUUCGUCCAUUAAAAUGGCGCGUUAGUUGGGUUCAGAGCGUUGCAAGACAGCUCGGUCCCUUUCCGCAAUGUGCGAUUGGAUUCAGAGGAGGAUUGUUCCUAGUGAGAAUUUGCUACUUCGCGAAGUAAUUCGCGAUGCCAAUUCGGCUAAUAACGGUGAAUCCUUACUUUACUUCAUAUGAUUUUUCGGUCCGAUAAUCAUGUGACCUCAUUUACUUGAGGACCAGUAAAGUAAGAUGAUACCGUGGGAAGUCAUCUAAUUUAUUAGAUUGACCCCGUAACGACUGAUCCCGUAAGGGAGAGAUGGAAGGUACCUGAUAAUCAGGAAUUAAACUUUCAUCACACGCCGACUCCUACUCUUUUAACAAGAGAGGAUGAAGAUAUAGUCUAUCCCCCUAGUGAUAGGGGACAUGAUGACGAGAGGACCGGAACGAACGAACCUCUAGUGCACCAGUUGUUCCGCCAGGAGCAUCGCUGGGUAGCUACGUUCGGUUGAGAUAAGCGCUGAAAGCAUCUAAGCACGAAGCUCGCUCCAAGAUUAGAAUCCUUCCCUCUUUAAGAGGGACGUAACUCCUGGGAGACUACCAGGUUGAUAGGCCAUAGGUGUACGCACAGUAAUGUGUUUAGCCAAGUGGUACUAAUGAUUACGCAUCUUUGUUGU
rfam:Candidate division WWE3 bacterium RIFCSPHIGHO2_01_FTLL_42_13 rifcsphigho2_01_scaffold_2581, whole genome shotgun sequence.